GACAGAGGGUGCAAACGUUGUUCGGAAUUACUGGCGUAAAGCGAGUGUAGGCGGUUUGGUAAGUCGGAUGUGAAAGCCCCGGGCUCAACCCGGGAAGUGCACUCGAUACUGCCAAGCUAGAGUGUCGGAGAGGUUGGUGGAAUUCUCGGUGUAGAGGUGAAAUUCGUAGAUAUCGAGAGGAACACCGGUGGCGAAGGCGGCCAACUGGACGAACACUGACGCUGAGACUCGAAAGCGUGGGGAGCAAACAGG
rnacentral:rRNA from 1 species